rnacentral:rRNA from 1 species
UACGUAGGGCGCGAGCGUUGUCCGGAAUUAUUGGGCGUAAAGAGCUCGUAGGCGGCUUGUCACGUCGGUUGUGAAAGCCCGGGGCUUAACCCCGGGUCUGCAGUCGAUACGGGCAGGCUUGAGUUCGGUAGGGGAGACUGGAAUUCCUGGUGUAGCGGUGAAAUGCGCAGAUAUCAGGAGGAACACCGGUGGCGAAGGCGGGUCUCUGGGCAGUAACUGACGCUGAGGAGCGAAAGCGUGGGGAGCGAACAGG